CGGCGGACGGGUGAGUAACGCGUGGGUAGCCUGCCUCAUACAGGGGGAUAACAGUUAGAAAUGACUGCUAAUACCGCAUAAGACCACGGUACCGCAUGGUACAGUGGUAAAAACUCCGGUGGUAUGAGAUGGACCCGCGUCUGAUUAGGUAGUUGGUGGGGUAACGGCCUACCAAGCCGACGAUCAGUAGCCGACCUGAGAGGGUGACCGGCCACAUUGGGACUGAGACACGGCCCAA
rnacentral:rRNA from 1 species